rnacentral:rRNA from 1 species
AUUGAACGCUGGCGGCAUGCCUUACACAUGCAAGUCGAACGGCAGCACGGGGCAACCUGGUGGCGAGUGGCGAACGGGUGAGUAAUGCAUCGGAACGUGCCAUUGAGUGGGGGAUAACGUAGCGAAAGUUGCGCUAAUACCGCAUAUUCUGUGAGCAGGAAAGCAGGGACCGCAAGGCCUUGCGCUCUUUGAGCGGCCGAUGUCAGAUUAGCUAGUUGGUGAGGUAACGGCUUACCAAGGCGACGAUCUGUAGCGGGUCUGAGAGGAUGAUCCGCCACACUGGAACUGAGACACGGUCCAGACUCCUACGGGAGGCAGCAGUGGGGAAUUUUGGACAAUGGGCGCAAGCCUGAUCCAGCCAUGCCGCGUGAGUGAA